rnacentral:misc_RNA from 1 species
GAGGACAUUUGUUGCAUCUUCCUCUCUUGGCUGAACUGGAUUAUAAUAUAGCAUAUCGACCACCAUGUUUCACCGCCGGAGCAAUUCCCAUCGGGAUCAGGAGGAUGAUUCACUGCGACAUGAGUCUAAGGUCAAUGAGCUAAGGAAUGCAAUUGGGCCAAUAACAGGACGCAGUUUACAAUAUUGCACUGAUGCAUGUUUGAGAAGAUAUCUGGAAGCUCGUAGCUGGAAUGUGGACAAAGCGAAGAAAAUGCUGGAGGAGACACUUAAAUGGAGAUCGACUUAUAAGCCUGAAGAGAUUCGUUGGCAUGAGGUUGCUAUUGAAGGGGAAACAGGUAAAGUGUAUAGAGCAAAUUUUCAUGACAGACAGGGAAGAACUGUACUUAUACUGAGGCCAGGAAAGCAGAAUACAAAAUCAUUAGACAAUCAGCUCCGACAUUUGGUGUAUCUCUUAGAGAACGCCAUACUUAACCUUCCAGAGGGCCAAGAACAAAUGGCAUGGUUGAUAGACUUCACUGGAUGGUCGAUAAGCAAUAGUGUGCCCAUCAGAACAGCUCGUGAUACUAUUAAUAUACUACAGAACCACUAUCCUGAGAGGCUAGCCAUAGCAUUUCUGUACAAUCCUCCACGGAUUUUUGAAGCAUUCUGGAAGAUUGUGAAGUAUUUCUUGGAUGCCAAAACAUUCCAGAAGGUGAAGUUUGUGUACCCUAAGAAUGUUGAUAGUGUAGAACUUAUGAGGUCAUAUUUUGAUGAUGAAAAUCUGCCAACUGAGUUUGGGGGAAAAGCCAUGUUGGAGUAUGACCAUGAAGAGUUCUCAAGAUUAAUGACUCAAGACGAUGUCAAGGCUUCCUCGUUCUGGGGAUUUGACAAUAAACAUCAACAAGCUACAAAUGGGCAUCAUGGUGCUGAGGUGGCUCCAGAGCCAAUGGCGUAGUUCCCCCAGCUAUCUAGCUUCCCAUCUUCAGUGAGUUAGUGUAGUGGAAGCAUAAAUCCACCUUGGUAUGUAAGAUUUUGAACGUGAGCCAGCUAGCGGAUAGGUAAUGAUCUUUAAUUUUGCCAACAAAAGCUAUCAGCAAUGUUUGUGGGCUUCUAGCUAGAAUAAUGGAAAUGCUGCCAUCUUUUAUUACUAAAAGGGAGCCUUAUGUUUUUUUUUUUUAAAAAGAAA